GACACUUUUUUAUAUUUCCAAAGGAAUGUGAUAGAUGGUUGCAAUGGAUACACGCAUGUAGAAGAUUUGAUUUACAAAUGAUGAGCCCAGAAUACGCUUAUCGCAACUAUCGACUGUGCCAUUUGCAUUUUGAAGAAAAGUGGUACAAAAUUUUCAAAUGUCAGCCAGACAGAUGUAGAGCCAGUCUUCUUCCUAAUGCUGUUUCAACAAUAUUUUUUGGAAGAAACAUUACGCCUGUAACAUUAUUUUAAGAAGAAAAUAUAAUUAAAAAAGAUGAGGACAAGAUUCAACAAGAAGAAACAAACAGCGACAUCCAAUCAUCAAAACCUAUGCCUGUAGAUACUCAUAUAC